UUAGUAAACUGGUAGACAAUA
rnacentral:piRNA from 1 species